UGGGGAAUAUUGCACAAUGGGCGCAAGCCUGAUGCAGCCAUGCCGCGUGUAUGAAGAAGGCCUUCGGGUUGUAAAGUACUUUCAGUCGGGAGGAAGGUGUCAAGGUUAAUAACCUCAUCGAUUGACGUUACCCGCAGAAGAAGCACCGGCUAACUCCGUGCCAGCAGCCGCGGUAAUACGGAGGGUGCAAGCGUUAAUCGGAAUUACUGGGCGUAAAGCGCACGCAGGCGGUCUGUCAAGUCGGAUGUGAAAUCCCCGGGCUCAACCUGGGAACUGCAUUCGAAACUGGCAGGCUAGAGUCUUGUAGAGGGGGGUAGAAUUCCAGGUGUAGCGGUGAAAUGCGUAGAGAUCUGGAGGAAUACCGGUGGCGAAGGCGGCCCCCUGGACAAAGACUGACGCUCAGGUGCGAAAGCGUGGGGAGCAAACAGG
rnacentral:rRNA from 1 species